rnacentral:rRNA from 1 species
CCUACGGGUGGCAGCAGUGGGGAAUUUUGGACAAUGGGCGCAAGCCUGAUCCAGCCAUGCCGCGUGCAGGAUGAAGGCCUUCGGGUUGUAAACUGCUUUUGUACGGAACGAAAAGCCUCCUUCGAAUAAAGAGGGGUCAUGACGGUACCGUAAGAAUAAGCACCGGCUAACUACGUGCCAGCAGCCGCGGUAAUACGUAGGGUGCGAGCGUUAAUCGGAAUUACUGGGCGUAAAGCGUGCGCAGGCGGUGAAAUCCCCGGGAUCAACCUGGGAACGGCAAUUGUGACUGCAAGGCUGGAGUACGGCAGAGGGGGAUGGAAUUCCGCGUGUAGCAGUGAAAUGCGUAGAUAUGCGGAGGAACACCGAUGGCGAAGGCAGUCCCCUGGGCCUGUACUGACGCUCAUGCACGAAAGCGUGGGGAGCAAACAGGAUUAGAUACCCCAGUAGUC